rnacentral:lncRNA from 1 species
GGGUACAAAUGGUAAUUUUUCAAAGUUGGCUUUCUGCAAAAAUUUCGCAGAAGAAAACGCAUUUGGGCUGAAAACGCGCCUUAGAAUCGCGUUUUCCAUAAUCGCGUUUUCGAUUCUGCGCCUAUACUGAAGAAAACGCGCCUUCAAAACGCGACAGGAAGUCGCGUUUUCUACCAAGUCGCGUUUUCCAGCCUGAUCAAAAAUUGAAAACGCGACUUCAAAUACGCGACUUAAAGUCGCGUUUUAUAACACAGUCGCGUUUUCGAUCCUGCAAGAUAUGUGAAGAAACGCGACUUCAUAAAACGCGGCUUGGUGGCGCGUUUUGAUGAGUCGCGUUUUCGGAGAAAAAAAAAAUGCAGAUUCCUUGAUUCUCUUUUUUCUUCUUUUCCUGUACCUUGAGUUGCUUAUUGUAUAUUGUAUAUAGGUACAUCACCAAAACAAAGGUUUGAAAUUACGGAUCGCCGUUUUGUUUUAUUAAGCCUUUGUUAUCACUUUUGUUUCUUAUUUUUCAUUUUUAGGAUUACAUCACUAAUGGUUAUCCAAUGAAACUCAUGAAGCGUUGGAGAUACACGGACAAUGGAUCUUGAAGCUUCAUAUUCAAUCACAACAAUAGGGGAGUAUUACUUUCUUUAUCUUGAUUUUCCUUUUUACACAUUGAGGACAAUGUGUAUGUUAAGUGUGGGGGGAGAAUUGAGAUUAUAUAUAUUGUAUGUGAUUAAAUUAUUAGUUGCAAAUAUUGG